GGGGGCCUCUCCUGGCCCCGGGCCGAGGGCUGACAGCCGCGUCUCGCCCGCAGGGAAGGCGCAGAAGGCCCUGCAGGAGCACUACCGAGUGGGUUCGCUGCUGGGGCGCGGCGGCUUCGGCAGCGUCUUCGCAGCCACGCGGCUCUCGGACGGCGCCCCGAGUGCCAAGAUCUUAUCAGGUGGUGUUUAUCCAUGCUGCAGUUGGACAGACCUUUGUUAGAAGACCUGUUCUGUGAUCCUUGGAUGCAGGAUAUUCAUCUGCCAUAGAAGAAGGGAGAGAGCCACAUGCACACUUUGAUCCAGGGCCCUGGGAAGGAGAAGAAGCCCCUGGAGAAGCUGUAUCAGGUGGGGCUGCUGCUGCUGCUGCUGGAGACAGCAAGGACGACAUCAAGGAUGACAGCCUCUUCCUCAACUUGGCCACUGGCAGCUGAAGAUGAUGGACUUUGAUUCUGGCACCUUCUUCAAAGCCAG
rnacentral:lncRNA from 1 species